rnacentral:rRNA from 1 species
UACGGAGGGUGCGAGCGUUGUCCGGAAUCACUGGGCGUAAAGGGCGCGUAGGCGGCCUGAUAAGUCGGGGGUGAAAUCCUGCGGCUUAACCGCAGGGCUGCCUUCUAAACUGUCAGGCUAGAGCACAGUAGAGGCAGGUGGAAUUCCCGGUGUAGCGGUGGAAUGCGUAGAGAUUGGGAAGAACAUCAGUGGCGAAGGCGGCCUGCUGGGCUGUUGCUGACGCUGAGGCGCGACAGCGUGGGGAGCAAACAGG